GUUUGUCACCACCAUCGAUCUAUAGAAUGUCUCAGGAUAGAUGGAUUUAAAAUAUGAAUCAACCUGUUCCUUUCUAGUUUGGCCCUCAGGGACAUGAGGUAUGUCUCUGACAAGAACAGCGAAUUGCUCUGGUUUCACUUCAGGAGACAUUAGAGCAUUUGCUCUCAUCCCAGAAACAUGCACGUACGCCUUCCAUAAAAAGAAAUAGGUAACAAGAGAAACCCAAUAGGUAGCAAUCAAGAAUGCCCACAGCCUUGGACUCCCCCCCUGCAGACAUAUUUUUCCAUGGAGCAAAACGAAAACGGGAGCAAGUCAGUUCAAGCAAACAAAACAAAGAAAGAGGAGUUGUGGAGGUACCUUGACAUUUCCCAUUAAUAACUUGUCAAUUUCAUUAAAACUUGUGGAGGAGUUUCCUUUAACUUUUUGUAUUUCCACAUUGUCGUCGGUGGCAGCAACAGGCAGAAGUACCGGCAGCAGAACAAGGCCAGACAAAACCAAUAUUGCCAGCGCUGUCAUAUAGAACAAAAAAAAGAGUAAAAAUAAACAACGUGAGGAGAGCAGUUGUCUGAGAAAUAAUACAUGGAAUGGAAGUUAGGGUUGUCCGAAAUCAUGAAGAAAUGUACACAGAUGGAUUUGCUUAAUCCUAUGAUGUAAGGUGCUUGUCAGUAGUUCAAGCACGACUAAUAAGAGUAGUCAUUGUCAAACCCAAUUAUUUUAGAUUUAUACUUUUUUUAGUUGCAUACCACCAUGUAAACAAACUUUGUUCUGAGCAAACUAAAGUAAAUGAAAAAGGAAAUCGGAAAACAGAGAAAAAUGAAAAGGUUACGGUAUCAAGUUUUGGAAGGCAAACAUCCCUUCGCCUCGAGAAAUUAAUUUAAGGGGAAGAAAGAACAGAACUACCACCAAAAAGGGACACAAUUAAAGACUCAAAGCAAGAAAGAAACCCGUAAAAGGUAUGAUUCUAACAACCUGAUAAAUUAGUCACAGCAUUACAAUCGAAGCGAUUCUUUGUAUUAGUUUUUUACAAGAGAGAGAGAGACUCGGAGAAAGAGAGUUUAAUUAAUCAAAUACCAGUGCUCAAGAAGACAAAGUAGACAGCAGCGUCUACACCGGACAUGUUUAUAACGUCCUGCUCGCUGGAAGAGAGGGCUUCCCGGAUCCAAGCAUAAGGGUUGCGGGAUCUUGACCCGCCCUCCCAGGGAUCCAGACCUUUCAAGAUCCGGUUGGGGUAAUACACGAAGGAGUUUCCAGGCUUCCUCGACAGCCAUGUAAACAGAAGCAUUAACACCACGAAAACAAAAAACGACGUCCCUAAAGACGUCAAGAAAGAUGUGAAAUCCAUCACUCGCUCAGAACAGAAUUAUUGUGAAAUGGGAAUUAUAAGGGCAAGGAAAGGAAAAGUAGCAGUGAAGAUGAGGGCAAUGAAAGCAGGUCACCGUUGAGGGAGGAAAUGGGGAAUGUAUUUAUGCUAGAGCAUUGAUUGGUGUGUGGUUCAAAUGCAAAAGAUGAGAGAAUACAAAAUGUCUGCCACAAGAAGAAGGCUUUCGAGCUGUUUGGUUCUGUGGGGUUUCGCGCUUUUGUUCAUGUUUAUUCGUCAUCAUCGUCGCAGUGCUUUCAUUUUCAGAGUCCUCGUAAGUAAAAUGAGUGUCUGUGUGUGAAAAGAAAGCGGGGACGGCAUCAACCGAGCGCGUUUCGAGUUUAAAUAAGCAAUUGAUUGUAAAAAAUAAUUGUGAAUCAUAAAAAUUAAAAAUAAAACAUUUAAGUAUGAAUUUUUAGUUAUAAUAGAAAUUACCUAUGAAAGAAAAACAAGUAAAUAAAAGUAAAUAAUUGGUGUAUAUUAGUAAUAUGAUGUUACCUAAAGGUUAGUCAAUGAAUCUAAAUGAAUUCUAUCAACUUUAAUAUUAAAUUACAUCAAAAAUUAGAAUAAUUACUUUGAAUUAUCAAAGAAAUAUGGAUUAAGGAAAAGAUUGUAAAUUUAAUAAUAAUAAAAAAUUAGCCCCUGCUUUAUACUUAAAAGGUUUUCGGCCAAUGGAUGGAAGAAAGUAGAAGCUUUCUUCUUCUCUUUUUAUUGCUUUUUAUUUCUCAUUGCUUAUGAAAAACUAGGUUUUAGGGUUUGAUACAUGGGACUAUGAGAGCUUAAACACUUGUAAAUACAAGAGAAUGAAGUGAGAGAAAAGUAGGGUUUAAAAAGAGAAAGUAAGGAAAUUACAGCAUUUUUAAAAAUGCCCUGUCCACGUCAACGUGAUCUUUUUAGAUAAUGUUUUCUGCAUCCUAGCUCUCAGCUUCAUAAUUUUCAACUAUGUUGACGUGUGUUUGUCUCCACUAUUUUGAUGCUUGAUGUGAUAGAAAUAAAAAUAAAUUAAGAAGUCAAAAAAUAUUAUUUUUAAUAUAUUUUUAAAUAAAAAAAUAUUUUUAAAAAUAAUCAUCAAUAUAAUAUUAAACAUAAACUAGAGGUGAUUAUUUUUUAUUCGGUUUAGUUUUUAUAUAAAAAAUAACCAAACCAAAGUUUUUUUAAAAAAAAUCAAAACCGGUUCAAACAGACUGGUUUCAGUUCCGUUUAGUUUUUUAAACAAAAAUUGGUUCAAAUCGAUUUCACUCGGUUUUUUUCGGUUUUGCCUCGGUUAUUUCCGGUUUGGCUUGAUUUUUUGGUUUUGCUCGGGUUUUUUCCGGUUUGGGUUCGGUUCGGUUUGGUUUUUUCGAUUUCAGACUUAUAAAACCAAAAUCAAACCGAACCGAAAAAAAACCGAGCCAUGAAUAAAAUAAUAAAUACUUUAGAUAUGAGGGGAAAAAUACAGUAACUAAACCAUGAAAAUGACCAACAUCAACAUAGUCUAUAUAUAUACCAGAUGCCAUGUCCGCGUGAUGUUGCGAGCUUAUAGCAUGCUUGUGCGUUGUUGUGCAUUUGUGAAAAAAAUCAUAAAAAAAUUUAAAAAACUAUAUGGAGAAAAAUUGUUGCAAUCCAUAAUAUUUUGAAGAAAAAAACUACAAAGUUAAAUUCUCAACUAACUUACUUUUUAAAAAAUAAAAUCGACAAAGAUAAUUCAGAAAAAAAUCAUAACAAAAAAAAACAAUGUAGGGAAACAUUAUAGCAAUCUGUAAUGUUUCAUGAGGAAAUCUAUAGUUUUAAUUCUUAACCAGCUCAAUAUUAAAAAAAAUAAAAUCGAUAAAGAUAAUUUAAAAAAAAUCUUAACAAAAAAAUCAUAUGAAGGAACACUGUAGCAAUCAACAGUGUUUUAAAAAAAAAAACUAAGAUGCUAAAUUCUCAACUAGCUUAAUAUGAAAAAAAAUAAAAUCAACAAAAGACAAUUAUGGAAAAAAAUCAUAAAAAAAGAAAAAAAAACCAUGUGUGAAAACACCGUAGUAAUCCAUAAUGUUUUAAAGAAAAAAACUAUAAAGCUAAAUUCUCAACUAGCUCAAUAUUAAAAAAAAAUCGACAAAGAUAAUUUUUUAAAAAAAAAACAUGCGGGAACACACUAUAGCAAAACAAAAACCAUGUCGGGAAAUAUUUUAGCAAUCCACAAUGGUUUUUUAAAAAAAUACAACACAAAAUUCUUAACUAGCUCAAUAUAUAAAAAAACUACCAAAUAUCAUUUUGAAAAAAAAAACAAAGAAAAAAAAUUCAUAAAAAGAAAAAAAAAUCAUGUGGUGAAACAUUAUAGCAAUCUAUAAUAUUUUAAAGAAAAAAACUUCAAAACUAAAUCCUCAAUCAAUUCAAUAUUAAAAAAAAAUCAAUAAAAUAACUUUGAAAAAAACACAAAAACAAAAAGAAUAAUAAUAAAAAAUGACCAUCUUUGGAAAAAAAGAAAAGAAAAAAAACAUUUAAAUCCCAAAAAAAAAAGGGAAAAAAUGAAAAAAAAUGGGGAAAUGCAUACAUACAUACAUACAUACAUACAUACAUAUAUAUAUAUAUAUAUAGUUUUUUAGAGUCAAAUAAUUCUAAAAGGUAAAAUCUUUGUCUUACAACCUCCUUUCCUAACUGAUUUAAAAAAAAAAAAAAAAGUCGAAGAGUUUUAUACUUUUGUUUUUGGAUCAUUAAAUGAACAUAAUUGUUGGAAUCACGCGAACUUAAUUAAAAAGGAAAGGGCAAGCAGAAAAUUUAUUUCUUUUAAAAUUCAAUCAAUCAUAAUUUUUUUAAAUAGUAAUUAUGACUUAGUAAUCCAAAGCUUGCUAGGUUAGAUCUCUUUUCAAAAUCAUACAAUUAUGGUAAAACUAGACACAUAUCCUCGCGUAGUGAAGUAUACAAUUUCAAUUAUUCAUAUAAAAUUAACUAUUUAGUAUUUGAUUAUAUUGUCAUAAUCUUGUGGUAUGUUAUCCCUUGUAUUGUUAUUAUUCUAUUUAAUAGUAAUAAAUCUUGUACCUAUACAAAAAUAUUUAACUAAUAUUUUUUAUAACAAAAUAUAAUUAUUUUUUAAAAUAUUUCUCAUUUUGUUAAAAUAAUAAUUUUUUUAAAAAUAUAUUUUUAACACUAAACACCAAAACAAUUCAAAAACGACCACAAAAAGUUAAAAUUUAAAGAAAUUUAAAACUACGUUACAAACUGAAACUUGGUUAAUAAUGCAUCUGCACAUGAUACAAUAACUAAACCAUGAAAAUGACCAACAUCACCACAGUCUAUAUAUAUAUAUAUAUAUAUAAAUUUAAUUAUUUAGUAAUUUGAUUACAUUAUCAUAACCUUUUGGUAUGUUGCCACAUUGUUAUUAUUCUAUGUACCUAUAAAAAAUAGAGUUUUUAUAAUUUUUAAAACAUUCCUUUGAUUAUUUUUUAAAAUAUUAUUUAAUUUAAAAUUUAUUAAAAUAUUAUUUAAAAAAUAAUUUUAAUAUCAACUCAUCAAAACAAUUCAAAAAUAAUAAAAACAAUAACAUUUAAAAGAAAUUUGAAACUACGUUACAAACAAACUGAAACUUGGUUAAUAAUGCAUCUGCACACAAUCAAAUACUUGUUGAAAUACAACGACCGCCUGAACGCGGGUUUCGGUUCAUCUUGAUGUUUUUUAAAGCAAUCUGCAACCUAGAAAGCUUCAACUCUCGAGUAAAAUACACGAAAUACACAAUAUGUUUACAAGUAAAUCCAUGACGUGAUCCACAAAUCUAACAAAUGGUCCAAGUUUUAGAAGCUAAAGGUACUACAGGACUUCAUCGAGCAACAAGAAGCUAGCUACCAACAGGGUAAUAUCAUGCAAACGAUCCGACUCUUGAAACUUGUGAUAAUGCAUCUUCGAAGUGGUCAUCAUCGGCCUUUUCAGAGCUCAAGCUUGGUGGGAUAAAAGACCUGUAGAUGCGUUCCAUGUCAGGAAUUUCCUUCAAUUCACGGCAAGCAACUUCGAGGGCUGUGUCGGCGAAAGAUCUAUAGAAUUUCUUCUGACAGACAAAGGCGAACAGCAAGGAAAGUAUCGGCAGUGGAAUUAGCAAGAGAGUACUGAAGGAGAAUUUCUUCACCCCAAAAUAACCGAACAUUGUAACUUGGUAUAGUAUCAGAGCAGCUAUGACUCUUGUAUGGAUGUGGGGCCACAUCCUGCCAUAGGUCUCAUAGGAUGGAGCAUAUACUUUGAGUGCCUGUUAAAUUUAACCACAUUUGCAAUUAAUAUUGAACAUGUUUAGCUGCAAAACUGGUCGCAUGUUUUGUGAAAAUACGAACUUCUAUUUGCCAAAACUUGCAGCACUUCAAAAUAAAAUGAAAAUAUCAAAGUGAACACAACAGAUAGAUCCGAAAUUCAGCAAAUGUUUGUCAUAGCAAUACACAAUACAUGUUGUUUUAGCUAGCUACAAAAUUUGAAGUGUUAACCCAUCAGAAUGAAUCCAAGCCAUCUCAUGCCAGCACAGGUUUGUGGAAAUAUUGAUUUCUAUUUGCCAGAAUUUGCAACAGUUCAAGGAAUAUGAACAUAGAAAGCACGCAAUGAAUUCUCCGAAAAAACACACACACACACACUGCUAGUCAAACAGAGUAACCAUUCCAAAAUUCAAACAAAACAUUCUAAGAUUUUUAUGAAUGGUGUGAGAUCCUUACCUGGUUCCUAAGGACAAGCCAUCCCAGGCCAAAGUACACCACUCCAAAUGGAAUAAUCAGAGGGGCUAUGACAGAGUAGCAAAGAACAAUUGUGAGAACAAGCAUGUCACCAGGAAUCCGGGUUGCAUAUCCGAAAUCUUUAGGAAACCAAGCUUCUUUUAACUCAGCUUCGGUCUUGCAUAGAUACUUCUUCUUUAGAUGAAAAAUGAUUAGAGGAACUAUACGAGACAGCUCGAGUCCAUAGCCAACGAAAAACCUGAGAGCCACAGAAUACUUAAAAGUCAAAAAAUGCAUUCCAAAAAGAAAAAUGAUUACCAGACCAAGUAUCUAGAUCAAAAUAAAUAGAAACAGAAAAGGCAAACACAUUAGCAUAAGAAACUCCUUUUCAUGUCCAAGUGGUUUAGCAGAGCACAAGAAGAUCUUGUAGCAAGGGGAGUUCUUUGACAGAAGAACGAAAUAAAACAGCUCUGGCUGUCGCGCAACAUCUUCUGGAGGGGUAGACGACUAAAACCAUAGCUUUCUAAAAGGAAAAGAAUUAUAAGUUAAUAUAGUGAGCUUACUUCAGAGCCACAAAAGUCAGGAAGAAAGUUGCAUUCCCCGGGAGGCUACUCGCAAGCAAACUAACAAUGGAGUUUGGUUUCGCCUCAAUGCUCUUGAACGUGCUGAAUAAGGUGCCACCCAGUGUCACUCCAAUAAAGACGUUCAGUAUGGUAAAAUAGAAAUAUUUUCCAGAAGUGGCCCUUACUGCAUGGCCCACUGAAGGAAUUCCCUCAGCCUUUGAGAGAGCCAAAAGUAACUUGGGCAACAGUGCCAAAAACACAAUGAGUGCAAUCUGAGGAAGGUACGCUUCCAGCACCGUCUUAACUGAGACAAUAUUCACAAUUGGCUUUAAAAAUGGGAGAAGUUUCUUCAGAUUAUCCAGGGUUGUUAAUGCGGAAAUGAACCCGAUUGGUAUCAUAUAAAACAAUAUGGUCAGAGCCACAAUAAAACAAACAACAUAAUGCCGGAUUAUCCUUUGAAAGACCUUAAUUUUAAGAUUAGACCAUAUUAUUUGACGUGGUUCAGGGGCUUCCAUGACAGUCCAGGUGUCAACCAUUUGGGCAUGUAGACUCUGGGCGGCAGAAGCUGCAGUCACCCUAUUGGUGAAGAAGGCAAAAGCACAAGGUUGUUGUUUCUCCCGGAGAGUGACUUUCUGUUCAGCUUCCAACUUUGGGAUUAGCUCUUUAAUCUUCUCAUUGUAGUGCUCUAUGCUAUCUACCUUUCUACCAACAAUACCAAGGGGGCCAGUUCUGAUGGUUGGUCUCAAUCCUUCUGGUUUGCCUGUUUUUUUGGAUUCAUUGUAUACAGCUUCUGCAUGUGCAUGCUUCUUCUUGUAUCCUUCCAACUCUUUAUAAAUCUUGUUAACCUAGAAGAGUUUUAGAAAAAGAGGAGGCUCAAAAUCAGCAGAGCUCAUACAGUAUGCAGCACAACACAGAAAAAGAGAACUCACAAUUGACAUUGGUCGAGGAUCAUAAAUUCCUUGAUAUGGAAUAAUAUAUACGAUAACCUCAAAUAUACUUGAUAUUGAAUCAUUAUAUUACUAGCACUAAAUUCCUUCUUUUUUCCCUUUUCUUUAUAAUAAAAUCUGAAAGCUCAAAGGAAUUGGAAACUAAAAAACGAGGGUUGGCUCAAAUUACAGAAGCAAUUUAGGAUGUGGAAUCCAGAACAUCAGGGUAAGUGGCAAGAGCAUGGAAAGGAAGAAACUAAUUUAAAAUUAAAAAAUACCUGUUUGUUGUUUGUCACCACCAUUGAUCUAUAGAAUGUCUCAGGAUAGAUGGAUUUAAAAUAUGAAUCAACCUGUUCCUUUCUAGUUUGGCCCUCAGGGACAUGAGGUAUGUCUCUGACAAGAACAGCGAAUUGCUCUGGUUUCAGUUCAGGAGACAUUAGAGCAUUUGCUCUCAUUCCAGAAACAUGCACGUACGCCUUCCAUAAGAAGAAAUAGGUAACAAGAGAAACCCAAUAGGUAGCAAUCAAGAAUGCCCACAGCCUUGGACUCCCCCCCUGCAGACAUAUUUUUCCAUGGAGCAAAACGAAAACGGGAGCAAGUCAGUUCAAGCAAAAAAAACAAAGAAAGAGGAGUUGUGGAGGUACCUUAACAUUUCCCAUUAAUAAGUUGUCAAUUUCACUAAAACUUAUGGAGGAGUUGCCUUUAGCUUUUUGUCUUUUCACAUUGUCGUCGGUGGCAGCUACAGGCAGAAGUACCGGCAGCAGAACAAGGCCAGACAAAACCAAUAUUGCCAGCGCUGUCAUAUAGAACAAAAAAAAAGUACAAAUAAACAACGUGAGGAGAGCAGUUGUCUGAGAAAUAAUACAUGGAAUGGAAGUGAGAGUUGUCCGAAAUCAUGAAGAAAUGUACACAGAUGGAUUUGCUUAAUCCUAUGAUGUAAGGUGCUUGUCAGUAAUUCAAGCACGACUAAUAAGAGUAGUCAUUGUCAAACCCAAUUAUUUUAGAUUUAUACUUUUUUUAGUUGCAUACCACCAUGUAAACAAACUUUGUUCUGAGCAAACUAAAGUAAAUGAAAAAGGAAAUCGGAAAACAGAGAAAAAUGAAAAGGUUACAGUAUCAAGUUUUGGAAGGCAACCAUCCCUUCGCCUCGAGAAAUUAAUUUAAGGGGAAGAAAGAACAGAACUACCACCAAAAAGGGACACAAUUAAAGACUCAAAGCAACAAAGAAACCCGUAAAAGGUAUGAUUCUAACAACCUGAUAAAUUAGUCACAACAUUACAAUCGAAGCGAUUCUUUGUAUUACAAGAGAGAGAGAGACUCGGGGAAAGAGAGAUUAAUUAAUCAAAUACCAGUGCUCAAGAAGACAAAGUAGACAGCAGCGUCUACACCGGACAUGUUUAUAACGUCCUGCUCGCUGGAAGACAUGGCUUCCCGGAUCCAAGCACAAGGGUUGCGGGAUCUUGACCCACCCUCCCAGGGAUCCAGACCUUUCAAGAUCCGGUUGGGGUAAUACACGAAGGAGUUUCCAGGCUUCCUCGACAGCCAUGUAAACAGAAGCAUUAACACUACGAAAAUAAAAAACGAGGUCCCUAAAGACGUCAAGAAAGAUGAGAAAUCCAUCACUCGCUCAGAACAGAAUUAUUGUGAAAUGGGAAUUAUAAGGGGGGAAGGAAAGGAAAAGUAGCAGUUAAGACGAGGGCAAUGAAAGCAAGUAACCGUUGAGGGAGGAAAUGUUGAAUGUAUUUAUGGUAGAGCAUUGAUUGGUGGGUGGUUCGAAAGCAAAAAGAUGUGAGAAUACAAAAUAUCUGCCAUAAAGACGAAGGCUAUCGAGCUGUUUGGUUCUGUGGGGUUUCGCGCUUUUGUUUUUUUUUUUUUUUUUUUUUUUUUUUUUCCAUCAUCAUCGUCGCAGUGCUUUCAUUUCACAGCCCUCGUAAAUAAAAUGAGUGUGUCUGUGCGUGAAAAGAAAGAAAGCACAGAGCGCGCUUCGCUUCGAGAUCUUUAUUUUAUUUUUAAUUUGGCACGAUUCAAUUUUUAUUUAAGCAUUUUUAAAAAUGCACUGUCCACGUCAACGCGAUCUUUUUAGAUAAUGUUUUCUGCAUCCUAGCUCUCAGGUUCAUAACUUUUAACUAUUUUGACGUGUGUUUAGACUACUUUUGUAUGUGUCUCCAUUAUUUUAGAUUAAAAAUAAAAUUUUAAAAAUAAAAAAUAUUAUUUUAAUAUAUUUUUAGAUAAAAUUAUAUUUAAAAAGUACUAAUAACACAAUAUUUAACAUUAUCUAAAACAAUUUACAACUGAUUAGAAAUGCCAUAGCUUAUGGUUUCUUUCCAUGUUUUACAAUAUAUUUUACUUUAACAAAAUAUUAGUAUUACUGUUUUUUUAUUAUUUUAAUAUAUUAAUAAUAAAAUUAAAAAAAUUUAAAUAAUAAUUAUUUUAAUAUAUUUUAAAGCUGAUGAAAUUUUUAAAAAAACAUCACAUAUUACAACACCAAACACGCUUGUUUAAAUAAGAUAUUAAAACUAUCUUGUAAUUUAUAAAAAUCAAAAUGUUAAAUGGUAUGUACUGAACAUGUAGAAGGAAUAGAACAAUGUUUUACUUAAAUGAUUUCUAUUUAUUCUGAGCUUUAAUUCGUCAAUCAAUUAUUUUUAUUGUAGCGUCAGUUACGUAGCUAGGAGUUAUUCCUUCAUUUAAUCUCUUAUAAAACACGGAAACCGCAUAUCCUUUUUAAAGUAAAGAUAAUUUUAGAUACCAAGACAUGGAAUAUCUUUAAUAUAUAAUUAUCUCCAAGAUAUGAUUCUUGUUAAAUUUAUAAAACAAAUAAAUAUUACUAUAAUAAAAUGUUAAUCAUAUAGAUGAAUUCUUCAAUAAUAAUCAUUUUCGAUUCUAUUCUUAUAUAUAAAAAAAAAAAAUUGAACUAAAUUUUUUUUAUAUAAAAAAACCAAGAUUAAACCGAAACCAGCUUAAAUCAAUCGGUUUCAGUUUGGUUUGGUUUUUUAAGACAAAAACUUGUUUAAACCUGUUUAACUCGGUUUUUUUUGUUUUGACCCGAUUUUUUCUGUUUGGCUUGAUUCUUUUAGUUUGACUCGAUUUUUUCGGUUUGAGUUCGGUUUGAUUUUAUACUAAAAAACUGAAACAUUUUUUUUUAAUUUUAAUCGGUUUUUUUUUAUAGUUUGAUUUUUUAAUUUUUUUUUUUCAAUUUCCUCAGUUUUUUAAUUUUUUUACUCAUCCUUUAAAUACUCAAUCUAAGAAAUUCUAUAUUGCUCGAGGUCGAAUUACCAAUACUUAAAAUAUAAGAAAAAGAGAUAAAAAAAAAAGAAGAAGAAGAAGAAGAAGAAGAGAAAAUCUCAUUCACAAUCAUUAAAAACAAAGGGAUAAAAAUAUCUUUGUUAUCCUUAAAAUUAUUAUUAUUUUUAAUCUCUUCUCUUGUGUUUCUCUCUCGUUUAUCUCUCUCCCUCGUGCUGUAGUUAUUCAUUAUCACAAUUUGAUUAGAAUCUCUCCUACCAAUAACAAGGAAGGGGGGGGGGAAACUACGGUGUUUAGAAUUUAGACUUAAUUAUAGUAAUUAGUAUCAAACAUUAACAAAUGGCUACUUAAUUUUUAGAUUAUUAUAAUAUCUUGAUAUGAGAAUUAAAAAAAAAAUUAUUUUAAUAAUUUUCAAAUAAAAAAAAUACUUUAAAAACCGAUCUCCUCCACAAAAGGCUAAGCUGAAAGUCGUUAACUCUGUGGGUGCUGAUAAAGGACAGGUUAGUUGAAUCAGAAGGCGAGGAAUAAAGAGAGAGUUAUCCAAAACUGGAAGAGUUUGUGGAAUUCGUGACUGUCAAGGGGCCACAUCUCUCCGUGUCCCCACAUACCAGAUCUAUCCCACCUCCCCACGCCCACUCUCUAGUAACCCCACCGCUGAUUCAAAUUCAAAACAUUACAAAACGGUGCCGUCACACUACGGCUCAAACCAGCAACGUCACUUGCACGCGCUCGGUCGAGACUGUGCAUCUCCCGCUAGUCCUUUUAAAAUCACAAGUUGCAGACAAAGCUAAAACUUCCUUUAGAAGAUGGGACACGCGGCAAGACAGCAGGCUGCCGACUACAUAUCUGGUACUGUGCCGCGUAGAUGUCGGAACUGAUGGACGGGACCCAUUACAGGGAUACUUUGUCGGUUUUAGCGGGGAAUUGAGAAGGGCUGAUCAUUGGGGGCCGACGUGGGUGACGACAGGGUAUCAUGCGGCCCCAUCAGAGCUGCUGCUGCCGCUUGUUUUUCCAGCUGGGGCGUACAACUUGCAAGAUAAGAAAGAACGUGCCGGUUCGAUGCCUUUCUGGUGUUUUUCGAGACCGGUCGGAGGGGAUUGAUGCCUUCGACUAUUGCCUGGAAACGAAAGGAUAAAUUGAGUAGUUAGCAUGUAAAGUGCAAAUAAAGAGUGAAAUGGAAUAAGAAAAAGUUUUGACAGAAACGAGAGGAUAAAAUGAGUAAUUAGCAUGUAAAAUGUUAUCUAAAAUAAAAAAUUUAAGUUAUUAUUUUGGUAUAAUAUAAAUAAUUUUAUUUAUUUAUUUAUUUAUCCAUAAAUAUAUAUGUUAAACCAUUCGUAUAAAAUCCUCGUCUAAUUAUGACAAACUCAUACUUAAUUGUUCAGAAUUAUCUGUGAAAACUACUGUCUGAACAAUAACUUUUAAAAAUUUUAAUUGGAAUCUGUUUUUGAGUUUACAAGUUUAAUAAAGAUAUAUAUAUUUUUACUCAAAAAAUAUAUUUGAAAGAAAAAAUUCAUAAAAUUAUUGCUUUUGUGUGAAACAAUCGAUCACUUAUUCAAUUGUAUUCAACAAGAAAUGUAACAAUUCAAAGGCUCAAAGCAAGAACGAAACCGUUUAAAUAUUGCUAUUCUAAAGCGUAACAACUAUUGUGUGAACAUUAACAUUUGAGAGAUAUUGCUUUGAUACCACUUAUUGCAAGGUAAAAUUUGAGAGAACCAAUCAGCAAGGAAUCCAAUUGAUGAGUUAAGGCUACAAGGGCCUUUACAAGUACCUUAAGAAUAUGAAAAGGAAUAGAUGAUUGGGAAAGGACGAGGGGAAGGAGAGAUAGAGAGAAAGAGUAGAAGAGAAGCACAAUAAUUGCAUUGUAAAUUUUCAUUCCCCUUUCUGUUACAUGCAGUGCCAUAAUUAUAGGAGUGUGAAUUUUAGAAUCUGUUACAAGAGUCACACGAGACUUCUUGUAGUAGUAACAAUAACAAAAUUAAAAUACAAGGUUGAUGUUGGCAGUGUAAUCCAUAUUUAUUUAAACAGUGCAUAUAACUGAGAGUAGUUGAGAGUGAUGAAAUGAUGGCGUUUCAUCACCAAACUUUUAGUUUAAAUUUCUUGUCCCGCUACUAUGCGUUUUGGCUCGCAACAAUACCUUCUUCCCUUUUAAAAAUUUCCUUGUCUUUAAGGGAGAACUGUGGAUACCUCAUGAGAAGGUCAUCAACAAAUUCCCAAGUAGAUUCUUAAGGUGAUAAGGUCUUCCAGUGAACUAAAACUUGUGUUGCUGCCUGAUUUUUAUGCUUGACCAUCCUCUUGUCAAGAAUGGCGUGGGGCUGCAACUCCGGGUCUGGAUUUUAGGUAGGUAAGUUGUCGUACACUAUCUCAGUCCCUGCAUAUUGCUUCAAUUGAGAGACAUGAAAUACUAGGUGUAUGGUGCUUGAACUGGGAAUGCUCAGUUUGUAUACAAUUGCCUCUAUGCGCUCAAUUACUAGGUAUGGACCAUAGUACCUGGCUGAUAACUUAUAUGAACCCCUCUUGUUCACCGUUUGUUGCCUGUAAGGCUGUAAUUUCAAAUAGACCUAGUCUCUCGCCUUGAAGAUACGCUCAUUGCGCUUCUUGUUUGCUAGUUAGAUCAUACGAUGUUGAGCCACCUUGAGAUUAUCUUUGAUAGUCUUAAACCUGUCUUCCUUUUUGGCUAAUUGUUUGUCAAUAGAUUCUAUGUUAGAAUCCUUAGGUAGGUAAGGAAUGUGGAUUUGAGGAUUCUGACUAUAUAGAACUUCAAAGGGUGUAGACUUGAUGGACGAAUGAUAAUUAGUAUUAUACCACCAUUCGGCUAAGGGUAGCCAUUAGUACUAUUGAUCAGUUGUCUCGCUUGUCAUGUGCCUCAAAUAUUGUUCUAAACACUUGUUCACCACUUCUGUCAGCCCGUCUGUUUAUGGAUGAUAGGUUAUUGAGUGCAAUAGUUGAACGUCUUGGUAGGCGAAUAAAUCCUUCCAGAAUAUGCUUAAAAACAUCGGGUCUCUGUCAUUUACUAUUGAAGCAAGUAAGCCGUGUAGUUUAUAGAUGUUAUUCAUGAAAGCAUUUGCCACUGAUGCAGCUGUAUAAGGGUGGGACAAUGCGAUGAAAUGAGCAUACUUACUGAACCUAUCUAUUAUAACCAAAACAAUGUUCUUUCCUUUGGAGUUGGGUAAUCCCUUAAUAAAGUCCAUAAUGAUGUCCACAAAGGGUGCUUGGGGUAUGGGAAAAGGUUGAAACAGGCCAGGUGUUUUGACAUUCUUGUUUUUAUUUUUCUGACAGGUGUGACACUCUCUCGCAUAUGUCCUUAUAUGUUUUUGCUAUUUUCUCCAAUAGAAUAGUGACCCUAGCCGUUAGGUAGUGACAAUAACACUAGAGUUUCCUUUUAUGGUAGAGUCGUGGUAAAUGGAGAUUAGUUCACCUUGCAAGUUAGAAUCAUUGCCCACCACUAGCUUUCUUUUUCUGUAUAGAUGUUCAUUCAAUUAUGUAUACUGCGGAUGCAAGCUAGCAUCUAUGUUUAGGUUGUUGAUGAUCUUUAACAAAGCAGUAUAUACAUCCCAGGACAUCUUCACCUCAUUUAACAAUUGGUCGAAAUGGUAACAAUUGGUCCAUCUAGAUACAACAUCAGUAGCAAUAUUUUCCUUUCCCUUUCUAUAUUCAAUGUCAUAAUCAAAGCCUAAAAGCUUGGCUAACUAGAUGUGUUGGGAUGGAAAAAAAACCUUUUGUGCCAGCAGAUACUUGAGGCCCACAUGAUCUGUUCUGAUUGUGAAGUGUUUUCCCCACAGGUAGUGUCUCCAUUUGGUGACCGUAUGUAGAAUGGCCAACAUUUCCCUUUUAUAAGUUGAUAAUGCUUGUUGUUGUGGUCAUAGUGAUUUGCUGAUGAAUGAGAUAGGGUGCCCCUCCUGUAUAAGUACAACCCCUAUACCCGAUCUUGAGGCGUCUAUUUCAACCACAAAAAACUUGUUAAGGUCAGGGAGGGAGAGAACUAGGGGUUAAGUCAUUGCCUGUUUUAAGUUUUUAAAGGCUUUGGUUGUGUCUUCCUUCUAGGCAAAUACAUCCUUUUUGAGUAGCUGAGUGAAUGGCUUGCUAAUGGCUUUAUAAUUUUUGACAAACUUCCUGGAGUAGCUAGUAAGACCUAAAAAUCCUCGUAGCUGCCUAACAUUUUAGGGUUCAGGCUAGUCGGUGAUGGUUUGAAUUUUCUUAGGGCUAAUAGCUACUCCGUCCUUGGAAAUGACAUGCCCUAAAUACUCUACCCAAUGAAUACCAAAUGCACAUUUGUUGCGCUUAGCUACCAACUAGUGCCCUUUAAGCAAUUCAAAUACGAUUUGCAAGUGUUCCAGGUGCUCAGUCAUUGACUGACUAUAUAUCAAAAUAUUGUCAAAAAAUACUAACACAAACUUCCUUAGAUGCUUGUGGAAUACUUCAUUGAUCAAGCUCUAGAAGCUAGCAGGGGUGUUAGUUAGCCUAAAUGGCAUCACCAAGAAUACAUAGUGGCCGUUGUGGGUUUGGAAUGCUGUUUUGAACACAUCAUGAGGAGUCAUUCUAAUCUGGUGAUAACUAGAUCGUAAAUCCACAUUUGAAAAUAUUGUGGCACUUACCAACUCUUCUAAUAAUUCCUCUACUAGAGGUAUUAGAAACUUGUCUUUGAUGGUUAGAUGAUUGAGAGCUCUGUAAUCAACACAGAGUCUCCAAGAUCCAUUAUUUUUCUUAACCAAGACAACAGGAGAAGCAAAUAGGUUGUUGCUUUGUUAAAUGAUCCCAGACUCGAACAUUUCCUCCACUAUCUUUUCCAAUAUGUCCUUCUGCACUUCAGAAUAUCUGUAAGGUUUGAGGUUGAUUGCUUGUACACCUUUUUUCAUAGGAAUAGUAUGGUUAUGGGUCAUGAUGGGAGGCAGUCCUUCAGGUUUCUUAAAUAUUUCCUUGUAACGAUUAAGUAAUUCUUCCAGAGCCACACAUUCCUUCUAAUUGCUUAUGGUUGAUUGGGAUAUAGGAAUUAUAUCCCUGUUUGUAUCUUUAAUAGUCGUGAAACAACAUAGACUUAUACCAGAUAGUUGAGUCAAGUUAACCAUUAGGCUGUUAAGUUGUGCUAGUUCAAGAAUUUAUACCUUGGUGUAGUCGGUGCCUUUAAGGACAACAUCUUGACCUUGCCACUUGAAGGACAUCCAUAGAUAUUUAUAGUUAGACAUAACAUUACUUAGCAUUGCUAGCCAUUAUAUGCCUAACACCAUGUCACAGUUGAUCAAAUCGAUAAUGAAUACGUCUACAAUAAAAUGUACUCCUUGCAUUUGCCAGCUGAAAUUCCUGCACAUUGUUGAGCAGUGCAUAAUACCCCUAUUUGUUGUUUCGACUACCAGGGUUCGAAUGGGGUGGGCUAGACAUUGUAAUUUAUUGGCAAACAUACUAUCGAGGAAGAUGUGUGUGUUGCCAAAAUUGAUUAGGAUGUAUAAAGGUUGCUUGUCGACCUUCCCUGCUACUCAUAAUGUAUGGCAACCCAUCGUACCCUCCAGAGAAUUGAGAUAAAUAUAGGGGGUAACUAGGUCAUGCUCCACAAUAUAUGUUUCGCCUUCUGCUUUUACAACAUCCUCAUCAUCUUUGAGUAUACAUAGAGAGUACAAACACUUAUUUUUGCAUUAGUGACUGGCACAAAUCGCUCGUCACGUCAGAAACAUAGUCCCUUGGCCCUUCUUUCCUCUAGGUUUAGAGGCCGAAUAGUUAUGGUUGGUUUUUGUGUAGGGGUGGGUAAUAUGCCUUGUUGUGUUUGUCUGAAGGUAUUAAGGUUUGGGGUUACUAUUUGUCUUGAAUAUGUCAUGAGAGUGUUUUGUUUGAAGGAAAUCAAAGGAGGUAUUUUAUUAGGGAGUGUAUCUAGGGAGUGUUUGGUACGAUUGCGGUUGUGAUCUUCUAUCAGACAAGGUAUUAUCUUACAAUCGGGCAAGAUUGUAAACUUGUCUGAGGGCUUUAAGAUCAAACAUUUUAAUGGGGUUUUUUUAUUUCUAUUUCUAGUCCUUCAAUAAAAAAUACCAUUACCUGUCUCUCACUGGUAUCAACCUUAUUCCAAAGCACAUCAAAAUCUUGAAUAUACGCCUUCAAGUUGCCAGUCUGCCUUAGUUCCAUCAGCUUCUCAAGAGGAUCUUGUGAAGUUUUGAUGCCUGACACGACCAAAAGAUUGAUGUCUUCUUCCAAGUGUAGGAGUGUCGAAGUAAUAAAUAACCCGACAAGAUCGGGGUCGAACCACAGAGAGGUUAAUUGUAUAAAUUAUAAAUAACAAGACAACAACAACAAUAAUAAUAACAAAAAUAACAACAACAACAACAACAAUAAUAAUAAUAAUAAUAAUAAUAAUAAUAAUAAUAAUAAUAAUAAUAGUAAUAGUAGUACUAGUAAUAAUAAUAAUAAUAAUAAUAAUAAUAAUAAUAAUAAUACUACUAAUAAUAAUACUAAUACUAAUAAUAAUAUUAGUAGUAGUAGUAAUAAUAAUAAUAAUAAUAAUAAUACUCAAUACGUGGCGUUGUUAUACCUGAGAAUGAUCUAAAAGAUCGGGUCACAGGUUUCCAGCCUAUAUACUGAGUUUAUGAAAAGAUCAAAGAGAUAUAUUAUAUAAUAUAAACAGAUUUCUGAUGCGAAUGAACAAGGCAAGAUCAACAAUAUCAGGAUCCUUGAUCAAACACAGAGCAUACUUAACGUACAUAAAAUAUAACAAGAAUGUAAAUAAUAAUAAUAAUACUACUACUAAUAAUAAUAAUACUAAUAAUAAUAAUAAUAAUAUUAGUAAUAAUAAUAAUAAUAAUAAUAACAAUAAAAAGACGAGGAGGAGGAAGAGACAAUAAUAACAACAAUAAUAAUAAUAAUAAUAACAACAAUAAUAACAAUAACAACAAUAAUAAUAACAAUAAUAAGAAAAGCAGGAAGAAAUUAAUGAGAACUUUGAGAUGGAAGAUUAAUGUAAGGAUUAAACAAUAAUAAAGACAAAUGUCAAGGUUAGAGGAUCCACCAAUGGUAUUUCAAACAAGUAUAGUAUAAACUCUUAUUACUCAAUUUGGAAACCACACACGAAGGAGGUUCCAGUCGGAUGAUUUGUCAUUAAUAGCUCAUUAUAAAUUAUUAACAUGAUCAUAUUAAUUAUCUUAUGUACAUAACACCAAACUUUUAAAUAUUGUCAGGAAUUCAUGAUGUUAACUGAUGUUAACAACAAAUCAAGUACCUUUCAUAGCCCCAGGUGUAGGUAAUACCAUACGGUUGGGUUAUGAGAGUGCCAAGCAUUUGUUGUACCAAGUAUUAUACAACACAAAUUUAGAUUAACCAUUUAACAAGCAAGGUAUUAAGAAUUAGUAAGAUAAAAAGAUAAGACAUGUUAAUAUUAAACAUUAAGGUCCAUAUUGAGUUUACACCAUACUUGUUCUUACACCAUUAGUGUAACCUUUUCAUCUUGACAUAAUAAACUUAGCUAAACAUAAUGAAGAAGAAAAACAUAAAUAAAAUACAAGUUAACUAAGGAAAGGAAAGGAAAUGAAAAGCAUAAACAAGAAAUUAAUAAAAGCAAAGCUUAAGAAUUACAAAAAAUAUAAAGAGAGAAAUAAAGAGCAUGAACUUGAUCUGAACAACCAAGCCCCUAAAUACAUGGCAAAUGCCUCCUUUUAUAGGCCAAAAUUCGGAAUUAUUGAUUUGAUGACUAAUUGUUGAGUGGGUGGCCACCUUUUGACUUGGUGAAAAUCCUUAUCUUCUUGUCUUAAUAAAACAAAAAUUCUAGAAUCAGAACUGGGUCCAAAUGUCCAAAUGAAAGUUCUGCGAAAUUCUCUUAGCUUUCCAGAAAAAAAAAGAUGAGGUCAUUUGGACUUCUAGAACUCAAGAUAUGGGCUGAACACUGAAUAGUGUUUGGGCUGCAGAAACAGCUUCGGACUUCUCCGUUGUUGCUAUAAUUUGGACUUGAAAACGGCCUUCUUAGAUCUUGAUAUUUCAAAUGAAAGUUGUAGGCCUAUGUCUUAUAAAAUCUCUGUAAACAUUUCAGAUCAUUUGGAUAUCUAGAACUCGAGAUAUGAGCUGAACACUGAACAGUGUUGGGCUGCAGGACAGAUUCAGACUUCUCCUUUCUAAGCUUCACCCUUCUUUAUCUUCAAAAUUUCAGUAGUUGAAUUCAUCAAUCAAUCCUUUGAUUUAUGUGAUAUGCCUGCAUUUAGGAUGAACAUUUACCAUAUAUUAGGGUAUUUUAUAAUAUUAGACUUCUUAUUAUAAAACAUGCUUUAGUUAAGGAGUUAUUGAUACUUUAAGUGCAAAAUGAUGAUAUAAACCCUUGAUAAACAUGCACUUUUAAGUACUAAUCAAUGCUAGUAUAAAGCCAUUUCGUCUAGAUAAAAGGAGGCCAACUUCACCUUCCCUGUUUCUUUAAUUUCUUCCAUGUCAAAAUAUUGAUUGCACUUAUACAACCAUUUAUGAACAUUUUCCCCAUCAAAAGAAGGGAAAUCUCUUCAAGGUUUAUGUACCCUGUAGGAGUGUUGCAUUUCUUCGCUAUAAUAGCCCAUUUUUAAAGUAGAACCACCUUGGGGAAGGUCUUGAUGAUCCUUCAUAGAACUACAUUCCAAAGUACUUGUUUGCAUCCUCUAUAGGAGCGUAGAUUGUUGGUAAGCUAUUCCAUUAAUGAGUUUCUUGAGCUCUUCGAUCUUAUUAUCUUGAGUCCCCUUGGUAGUGUGUAGUAGUUGUCCAUAAGUUUCCAAUUGUGUUAAGACUUGUGCAUGUCAUAUUGAUUGCUCAUUGUUGGCAACUUCAAAGGAAUCUUUCAAUUUCUUAAGAUCUUGGGACCUCGUCUCUAGUGGCAUGGUUGAAGUCUGAAUAUCAGGUGCUCUGAUACCACUUGUUGCAAGGUAAACUUUGAGAGAACAAAUCAACAAGGAAUCCAACUGAUGAGUUAAGGCUACAAAGGCCUUUACAAGUAACAUAAGAAUAUGGAGAGGAAUAGAUGACUAGGAAAGACUAAGAGGAAGGAGAGAUAGAGCAGAAGAGAAGCAUGAUAAUUGCAUUGUAAAUUUUCACUCCCUCUUCUAUUACAUACAGUGCCAUAAUUAUAGGAGUGUGAAUUCUAGAAUCUGUUACAAGAGUCACACGAGACUUCUUGUAACAGUAACAAUAAUAGAAUUAAAACACAAGAAUGCUGUUAGCAGUGUAAUCCAUAUUUAUUUAAACGAUGCGUAUAACUGAGAGUGAUGAAACGAUGGCAUUUCAUCACCAAUCCUUUAUUUUAAAUUUCUUUUCCCUCUACUGUGCGUUUUGGCUCGCAACAAAGCUUUAGUGCCUUCAACCAAAUUUCAAGCACUCGAGUAAGUUGUGCACGCAACGCACAUUGAGGACGAAGGGAAAACACUUGCACGUUUGAUGAAACAUUACAAAUUCAUUGGCCGAGAAAGGGAUUUCCCUUUUGAAACUACCUCAAAUGUAUGAAGAAAGCAAUGAAAGCAACCCCAAAGGGAUCGGCAUAAUAUAUCUAAACCAAUCAAAGGUCCUUAGCCCAUCAAGGAUCGGGAUGCCAAUGCAAUUCCUCAUCUUCGUGUAAUUGGUUAUAGUAGGUGAUGUACAAUGGCACGUUGUAUGUCUUUAAGGUGGGUUAAAGGUCUCCAGGGCCGGGAAAGGAGCUAAUCGAAGAAUGUGGUGGUGAAAAUUCGGAGGCACCAUCAUUUUAUAUAGAAAAGUUUUUUUUUGCUGCUAGGUGACACGACUAAAAGAUUGAUAUCUUCUCCCAAGUACAGGAGUGUUAAAGUAAUAAAUAAUCCGACAAGAUCGAGGUCGAACCACAAAAAGGUUAACUAUAUAAUAAUAAUAAUAAUAAUAAGUUAAAGAGAAUUUUUAGAUGUGAGAUUAAUGUGAGGAUUAAAAAAUAAUUAAAACAAAUGUAAAGGUUAAAGGAUUCACUAAUGGUAUUAAAAAUAAAUGUAAUAUAAACUCUUUUUAUUUCUUAACUAGAAACCACACGUAAAGGAGGUUCCAAUCGGAUGAUUUGUCAUUAAUAGAUCUUUAUUAAUUGUUAACAUAAUCAUAUUAAUUAUCUUAUUUAAGUGACACCAAACUUUUAAAUAUUGUCAAGAAUUCAUGAUGCUAACUUAUGUUAACAACAAAUCGAGUUCAUUUCAUAGCACUGGUGUAGGUUAUAACAUUCGGUUGGGCUAUGAGAGUGCCAAGCAUUUGUUGUACCAAGUGUUAUAUAACAUAAAUCUAGAUUAACCAUUUAACAAGCAACGUAUUAAGAAUUAGUAAUAUAAAAAUGAUAAGACAUGUUAAUAGCAAGUUGUUUAGGAUAUAAGUAUUGAAGUCUAUAUUGAGUUUAUAUUAUACAUAUUGAUGUAACCAUAUUAUUCGAUAGUUUCACCCGCAUUUAACUAGUGUUUUGCAUAUGUUAUUUCUAUAAAAUGCCUUGAUAUUCUUUGUUUAUGUUUUGAAGGCACUUUUGGAUGAAAAAUACAAAAAGGAGUAAAUUGGAGGUAAUUGGCAGAUUUGACGUUCAGUCGAUGUUUUGUGCAGAGCGUGAGUUCUAGAGGUUGAAACGAAGUGAUUCCAAUGGCAUUAAAAAGCUAACAUCCAUGACUUUCUGGAAAUGUAAUUCAAGAAAAAUAAAAAGAGAAAGAUCAUGGAAAUCACAUCCUUCAAAGUCAAAUCACGCAGUUUGCCAAUGUUGACCUUUGCCCAUUCAAAAUUCAAUAUCUGGCGCUUCAGAAGUCCACUUGAUGCAAACUCAAUUUUGUUGGAUUCCUUACUCAAAUCUCUAUAAACGCUCCAAAAUUCAGCCAAAAACGAUGUCAUAUGAGGGAGAUAUGAGUUUUCAAAAAUGAUAAUUGAAUUCUGCCAGCAUGCAGGUUGCGUGAAGAAACGAAUCCAAAUUUCAUCCAGAAGCAUCCAAACCGACCAACAAUUUAACUCUUCUAGUAAAUAUUCUAGAAGGUCAAGGAAGGCAGCCACCAACCUCAAGUCAGCCAGCAGCCAGCCACCAACCUCAAGUCAGCCAGCCGCCUUUACACUACCACCAUCUAUUGAUGUUCACACUUGAACUUUGAUUUUCUUACUUACAAUUUGUAUAUAAAUAGAGGGUGAGUAGAAGGAGGUAGGGCAAGUAAGAAGGGAGGAAACACAAACUCUCCUCUCUACAAAUCAGAAAUUAUGUAUUCUUUCAUCUUUAGGAGUAGUUGUUCAAUAGAUAUGCAAGGCUAAGCUCGUUUUCUUGGUUGCAAGGACACAACAAACCUUUGGAUUUCAAGAACCGUGAGAUUUAUUCUUCCUUUUAUUUUCAGUUUAUGUUAUGAAUGAGUAUGAUUGUUUUCCUAUGCAUAUUUCCUAUGAUUGUUUAUCUUAAUUGCUAGAGCGGACUCUAAGUUAUUAUUGUGAACAAUCUAUUGCUAAGUUUGAUAUCAAAACCGGAGUUGUGGUAUAUAAACUUGUGAAGCAACUAAGCUUGAUAAUUGUAGCGGAACUACGUUAUUAAACUUAGGGAGAACAUUCGAUCAUAGCAACACAAAUUGACAACUUGGUUGUUAAGAUUAAUGAAUUUAUCUGGAUCUUAAGGCUGCCAUUGGAUUAAAUCAUUAGUGCGGACACUGUGAUUGUUUGUUGGUUAGGGCUAGUUAUACGGCGGAUCCGUUAAUUAACCAAUAUUAAGAAAAGAUAAAAUUCAUGAUAUAAACUGGAGUUUCGUUUCAAGGAUCGGUUCUAAUCUCCGUUGGUAGAUGUGUGCUUGCAACCAAGGUUUGUUUUCUUGAUAUAUUUCAAUUUCAAUUGAUUUUGUUUGCUAGUUUAAUUGCUGCCAUAGCUUAGAUAAUCACAAACCAAAUCCCCCCAAUUGCAUAACGUACAAUAUAAAAAUCUGACUUGAAACUUCCUCGUGGGAUCGACCCCUUGCUUGCUCUAUACUAUCUUGUGUGUUUUAAGCUAGGGUAAUUAAUUUGUGCGACCGCGACAUCGCAACACAUAUCCUAACACCAUUAGUGAAACUUUUUCACCUUUACUUAAUAAACUUAGCUAAACAUAAUGAAGAAGAGAAACAUAAAUAAACAACAUAAGAAAAUAAGUAUAGUAAAGGAAAUGAAAAGCAUAAACAAGAUAUUAAGGAAAAUAUAACAUGAUAUAAAACUUAAACAUUACAAAAAUAUAAAGAAAGAAAUAAAGAGCAUGAUCUUGAUUUGAAAACCAAGAUACCUAAAUGCUUGGUAAAUGCCUCAUUUUAUAGGCUAAAAUUUGGAACUAUUGAUUUGUUGACUAAUUGUUGAGUGGGUGGCCACAUCUUGACUUGGUAACAAUCCUUGUCUUCUUGUCUGAACAAAACGUCAACGCUAACAUUGGAAUUUGAAUAGAUUUUCGUCAUGAAAGUUCUAGAAAAUUGUUUCAGAUUUCCAACAAAAAAAGAAUCAGUGCAUUUGGACUUCUAGAACUCGAGAUAUAGGCUGAACACUGAAUAGUGUCUUGGUUGCAGGACAUAUUCCGACUUCUCAGUUGUUGCUACAAUUUGAACUUGAAAAUGGCCUUGUUGAAUCUUGGACUUCCAUGAAAGUUUUAGGCCUAUAUCUUAACUUUUCAUCCAUAUAUAGCUGACCUAAAUCCAAGUUCUACAGCUCCAAUUAUGAUCCAAUAACCGAAUGGUGUUCUAGUUUGGACUGAACUGACAUCUCUUUUCUAAGCUUACCCUCUCUUUGUCUUCUCAAUUUCAGUAAUUAAACUCGUUAAUCAAUUGAUAAUAACGCGAGAGUUUGUAAACCUAAAUAUUUCAAAAGAAGUAUGUGAUAGACUUUGUAUAAAUAUUGCAAAUAACCAUUGGAAAAUAUUUACUAAGAUGCGUCUUAAGAGUCAAUAAAAUUCUCCAUUACUCUGCCAUCCUAGUAAUGACGGUUUUGUCAAAUGGUUUUAAUAAUUGCAAAAAUAGUUAGUUGGUUAGUUUUCUUAAUAUCAACUACUACCCUCUCCCCCCAAUCAAAAGGAGACAAUGUCCUCAAUGUCCUAAGAUAGAAAGAUAGAGUAUAGAACAUCACCUAAAACAACGAACACUGACAAACCUGAAACAAACUUAAAUAAAUAUAAGAAAUAACAAAACAAAAUAAUAUGCUAAAAGACAUAAAUUUUUACAAACUAAGACUCAUAUCGUAGUUGUGAUUGUGGCUCACAUCUUCCCUUUGUUUUACAUUCAAGAACGGUUUAAACGCCCUCUAUAGGUCGGGGAUAGACUUCUCAUCUAGUUUUCUUAAAAACUAGCAAACAUGGUUUUUUUUUUAGUUAGAUUCUCAAGACUAUGUCGAGCAUGUUCUUUAUGGAAUUAUAGGCAUAAAUCAUGAAUUGCAUGAUGCACUUCUCCAUUAGGAUGCAUCUCAAGAGUCAAUAAAAGAUUAUCUAAAGACCUCUUACUCAUGCCAUCCUUUUACAAAUACCAUUCCUAAAGAGUGACAUUUUGCAUUACAAGUCAUUGCAUUACAUCUGUGACAGCCUUUAAGUUGUUUUGCACGGCGUUACCUCUUUCAGGCAUGUAUGAAAUGAAAGAAUUGGAGGAAUCACAUGAUAAUUGGACCUUUGCUUCAAUCAGCCAGCGAAUAUCUUCAGGAAUUCUAUGAUUCAUUAACAACCUCAAUCUUUCACACCUAGCAUGGUAAAUUUUUGCAAUCGUAUUUGGAGGCAAAGCGAUAAAAUAUUUUUUCAAUUUUUCAAGAGUGGUGUCCAUUUUCAAAUGAUAAUUGAAGAAGAGAUGCAAAGAAAGGAGAAAGAUCAAAGAAUUGCACAAAUAUAUACACAGAUAUCAGUUAUCAUGAGAAACUAAAAGAACCGACUUAAGGGUCACAGAAUACCGUAAUCUGCCAUUUGAUCAGGGUGAGAGACUACCAAAAUAAAAGUCACACAAAAUAGAAACACAAAAACAAUAUGAGAAAAAGAAUCAGUCUUUAUGUACAGGAUCACUUAAUUCAAUAGAGUUAUUUUCAAUUGAAAAAUUAUCAAGGUAAAUUUUCAAAUGAUGUCCAUUUACCUUGAAAACAUUGUCAUUCUUUGGAUUCUCGAUAUCAUAGGCCCCAUAUGGAUACACAUGUUUCACAAUAAAAGGACUGCUCUAUCUUGAUCUUAGUUUUUCAGGAAAUAAAUGGAGUCGAGAAUUAUAAAGUAAGAUUUUCUUACCAACAUUGAAUUUUUUUUAGUGUUUUCUUGUCAUGAAACUCUUUGAUUCUUGCUUUAUGAAUUCUUGAAUUUUCAUAUGCAUCAUUUCUUAUUUCCUCAAGCUCAUUUAUUUGUAAUUUUCACAGCUGACUAGUAUCAUCAAGGUUUGAAUUGAAAUCUUAAAUAGCCCAAUAAGCUUUAUGUUCAAGUUCCACAAGCAAGUGACAAGGUUUUCCAUAGACUAGUCUAUAAGGUGACAUACCUAAUGAUGUUUUAUAAGUAGUACGAUAAGCUUAAAGUGCAUCAUUAAGUCUUAAAGCCAGUCUUUCCUAUUAGGGUUUACUGUUUUCUCCAAGAUCUGUUUGAUCUCUCUAUUAGCAAGUUCCACUUGUCCACUUGUCUAUGGGUGAUUCCAUAUUUCUUCAUUAAAGACUCAAAUGACUUGUUGCAUCAAUGUGUUCCAACAUCACUUAUCAUGGCUCGAGGAAUUCCAAAUCGACUUAAAAUAUUUUCUUUCAAAAACUUUAUCACUAUUUUGUGAUCAUUGCUUCGAUUUGGAAUUGCCUCUAUCCAUUUUGAAACAAAAUUUACUGCGACUAAUAUGUACAAGAAACCAAAUGAUGAAGGAAAUGGACCCAUGAAAUCUAUACCCCAACUGUCAAAGAUCUCAAUGACAAGAAUAUGAUUAAAAGGCAUCAUGUGACAUUUUGAAAUAGAUCCUAACUUUUGAUAAUUUUCACAAGUCUUGCAAAAUACAUGUGAGUUCUUAAACAUGGUGGGCUAGUAAAAUUCACUUUGUAAGAUUUUUGCAGUUGUCUUUCUUGAUGAGAAAUGACCCCUACAUGCCUCAGAAUGAUAAAAUUUAAUGACACUACUUACCUCAUUGUCCGGAAUGCAUCUUCGAAAUAUUUGAUCAGGACAAUAUUUGAAUAAACAAGGGUUAUCCCAAUAAAAGUUCUUCACUUCGUUCAAGAUCUUUCUUUUGUCUUAGGUACUCCAAUGAGUUGGCAAAUGUCCUGAAACAAGAAAAUUAAUAAUAUUAGCAAACCAAAGCAUCGUAAAGAUAGAACAUAAAGAUUCAUCAGGAAAGUAGUUAUUGAUUGGUGUAAUAUCAGAUCUCGAAUCUGUUGUCAGUCUUGAAAAAUGAUCUGCGACAAUAUUUUCGAUGCCUUUCUUAUCUUUGGUUGUGAUAUUAAAUUUUUGAAGCAACAAAAUCUACCGCACCAAUCUAUCCUUAUAAUGUUCAUUGGAAAUAAGAUAUUUCAAUGUUGUAUGAUCACUAAAAACAACAACAAGUGAGCCAACAAGAUAAAACUUAAAUUUUUCAUAUGCAAAUAUUAUUGCAAGUAAUUCUUUUUCAGUGGUGGUGUAAUUCAUUUUAGCACUAUUUAAAUUUUUACUUGCAUAGUAAAUCACAUAAGGUUUCUAAUCUUUUUUUUGUCCCAAGAUAGCGCUCACGACAUAAUCAUUAGCGUCACACAUUAUUUCAAAAGGUAAUGAUCAAUCAAGAGGUUGGAUGAUAAGAGCAAAAGUAAGCAAGUUUUUAAGUUUAAUAAAGGCUUCUUCACAAUUUUCAGUCCAUUCAAAAAUAUUAUCCUUUGUGAGAAGGUUACUCAAAGGCUAAUAUAUUACACUAAAAUCUUUAAUGAACCUUCUAUAAAAACCAACAUGUUCUAAGAAUGAUCUAACAGCUUCUAUAAAAACAUGUGACCUGAGUCAUAAAACCGUGAUAAUUUGAUAGAAAGCAAAGUAAAAUAAAUAAUGAAGCCUACUUUAUAAUCAACUCGAUGCUACAUGAUGAAAUUGAAAAGAAAAAAACCAUUUAAUAAAAGACAACAACUCGAGUCAAUUAGGUUAACUCACUAAACUCGCGACUCGAGUCAUAAGACCGAGAUAACCUUAUAGAAAGCAACCCAAAAAAUUCAUAAAACCUAAUUUUCAAUCAGUCCAAUGUUGAAAGAUGAAAAAAAACUUGUCAAUUAAAAAAAAACAACUCGAGUCAAACCCACACAAGUUAUGAGAACAAACUAACCACGUGUAAAGCAAAUCACAAUAAAUCAUGAAGCCUUAUCUCAAAUAAACUAAAUAUUAAAUUAUAAAAUUAGGAAAAGAAAUAUAGAUUUAAAAGAAAAAAAAAUUAUUGAAAUGAAUAGUGUUUUGUAAGGUGGUGAAAAAUAAAAUCACCACCUUUUUUGGUUUAUAUUUGUUAUGUGACUUGUGCUCCACCAUGAGUAAGAUAUUUUUAUCCCCUAUAAAAUAAAUUUGUAUAUGCGGGUUUUUUGAUAAAUUUUUGUUGCUAAUUUUUUCAAGUGCAAGUAAAAAAGUUUAUGCAUACAUGUGAUAAAAUAAAUUGAGAAUUAUGUUUGCUAAUAAUUUUUUUUAAAAAUUAAUGAUCAAUAUAUUGAAAUUUAUGAACCCUGAAAAUUGUGAUUUCUCAAUAACCAAUAUAUUGGAGAAUCAAUAUAUUGCCAAAGUUUUGACUUAAAAAACAAAAAAUUUCAGGCCUCUUUAUAAAGUAUACAAGUGCCAUACUUGUAAUACAAUUCUACAUAAAGGAGAGGAUUUAAGGUGAAAUUGAAUAAAUUAGAACAUAAUGAGUUUCCAAGUUCUUUGGGCUUAAAAAACCUUCUAACAAGGAAUGACAUAAAACAUUAGCAACAACAUAAGUCAUUAAAGUAAAAUUCAAUAAUGAAAAUGACAAGUUGGUUCGCAAUCACCAAUAUCUUUUAAACUUAGAAACAAGGUAGUCAACCAUGGCCUAAAGAAGUAAAUGUAUUGGUUAAACAUUUUAAUAGGCCAAAUAUCAAUUAUUUAGUGGCCAUAAACAUUAUCAAAAGUUUUUCUAGUUUGAUUUUCAUUCUUUUCAAAGAUAGGAAACAAUAAAGAAGCCAAUGACUUGACUAAUUAAGGUUAAGAUAUAAAAUGACCUUAAUCAUCAUGGUAUCAUCCUUGUAAAAAUUAUCGAUCAAUUAACCAUUGCUGAUAUCCAAUAGGGAUGUAAUGAUGCAUAAUGUAGUAUAUAUUUUAUGGUUGAAAACAUAUAAAACAAUAAGGAUAAGAUUAAAUUGAUUUUAUACAAGGGAUGCAAUGAAAGAUAGGAUUCCUAGGGAAACUAAGAUAUCAAUAUGGAAAUCAUAAGCAUGAAGUUGCUUCAUAUCUCUAUUAUUUAUACUUUGUGCUUGAUAAUUAAGCUAUUGUUGAGUAUAACUUAAUUUUUUUUGAUCUAUUUCAAUAUGAGUAUGACAGGGAAACAUGCUUUCAUUUGUUUAAAAUUGAAGAAAUACUAUGGGUAUUGUUUAAAUAAAUAAAAAUAAAAUUGAUCGUGAACAAUGGAAUUGACUAGGCUUAAAAAGUCUCAAUUAAUCAAGAAAACAAAAAAGCAGUUGACUGGAGGAUCAAGAGUCAAGUCAACAAAAAGAAACGAUCGAUCAUAAUAGCAAUAGUUCACAUAAUUGAAUAUAAUGUUUAAUUCUAUUCCGAAUGAGAGUUCUCAACAUAUUGAACUAAUUAAUGUUCUAAAUUAUUAAGGAUUUGUAUGGUUAUUAAUAAGGAAAUGUGAUAGAGUUUGUUUUUGUACGAGGACUUAUCAUAUAUAUGAAUGAGUUAGCUCAAAAUUAAAUUUAAGUAUUUACAUGAAAUUCUUUCAGUGUAACAAUAUAAAUAGACCAUAUUAGUUACUAGAAAAGAUAAUUGAUAAUGUAUUUUUAUAUUUAUGUUUUUCCCCAGAUGGUUUUUAAUGUAUUUUUACAGCUUUCCUUUAUAUUUUUGCACUUUAUUUUUUGUCAUUUCUAUUUCUUCUUCCGCGUAAACCUUUCUUUUUCCUCAUGUGAUGUUGUUAUAGAGCAAAUAACCUUUUAUUCAAGGUUUGAGGUUUUAGAUCCUUAUGCUUUGCUUGAUUUUGCAAGAUUUUUACUUAUAUUCUCUCGGGAUUAAGUUCAUAUUGUGUAGUUUCUUCUCAUUAGAAGAUAUAAAUUAUCAAUUAUUAACUUAUUGAUAAGAUAACUAUUUGAGUGAUCAACACACCUAAAGCUCAAACUAUUUAGACUUUUACCAAUUCUUACCUCUUCAACAUACUCAUUCCUAACAUUGUUAGCUAUUUAUACCAUACCUCUUACUACUUGUUCUUGUUUUACUUAGUUAAUGUGCCAUUACUUGUAUAAGUCAUAACACCAGCUCUUGUACUUUUGGACAACUAAUCAAUCAUUUACUUGUUCUUAAUAACCCUAACAUAUAAUGCUUAGGACUUAUGAUUAUUUUUACAUAUUUUUGGAAUGUUAUUUAAGUUAAUUCAUAAUUAAUCUGUCACGUGCAAUGCAUAUAAUCCUGAAUCUUGACAUAAAAAUGUUCUAAAUAUAUCAAUAUAGUUCAUUUAUAGAUGAUUGGUUGUGCUAUGUUAUAUCAAGGUAACCUUGUCGAAAGAGAACUUAAUAAAACUAUAAUGCUCAAUUACUAAACAACCCAAUGCUAAAUAACAAAACUGAAAGAAAAUUAAUUUUAAAAAAAGCAAAAAAAGACCCGAUUCAUACCAAGUUAACUCGGUUACCUCGCGAACUUGAACAUAAAAUUAAGAUAAUCCCAUAAAAAAGAGUAAAAAAAUCAUAAAGAUCAACUCUCAAUUAGUCAAAUGCUAGAAGAUAAGAUUGAGAAAAAAAUAAAUUAUAAAAAAAAUCAAAUAUUGAAGGAUCUUAUUUGAUAACGAAGUAAAAAUUAAAUGAGAAUGUGAUAACCCCAUAGAAAAUAAAAUAAAAAAUAAAUCUUAAUUUUUAGCAAAUAAAUUAUUGAAGGAUAAAAUUAAAGAAAAAAAAUUAAUUAAAACAUGUUAAUAAAACCUGAUCCAAUCCCACUCGAGUUAGCAUGCAAAAUCUAUAACCUAGUCUAUUGUUUAAGUGUUAAGGCAAUUAUAACACCUAAGAGGGGAUGAAUUAGGUAUAUCACUAAUAUUAACAAAAUAAUGCAAAUUAAUUCAAAUAGACACAAUAAUCACCAAUAUAAUUAAAAUGCUUAAAGUAAAGAAAUAAAGAAUAGAAUUUGCAAACUCGUUUUUAACAUGGUUCGGCAAGUUUACAUCCAUACUUUAAAUAUCAAACUGUACUUGAGUAUUGUAUUCUUUCACUAGUCCAAGUUCAGGAGUAUAAUAGUCAUUUGAUGAAUCCACACCAAGAUUUUCCUCACAUGAAAAGAUACCAUCUUCAAGAUGUUUUCCUAGUGAAAUCACCUCACCAAUACCAAGAGUUUUUACCUCACUCUCAAAUGUUUACAAGGGUAAUUUUAUUAUCAUAAUUAACUCUCUCAAUAAAAUAGAUAAUACAAUUGAAAGAUCUAAUAUCUUUAAAUCUCACAAGAUAACACUUAUAUAAUUUGAAAGUGUUUAAAUAUAAUGAGAAUGAGAUUGAAUACUUUUGUGCAAGAUUAUAAAGAUUUAAUAACACCAAUUAUAGUAUAAUUAUGGAUUGAUGUUCUAUAGUGUUUUUGCACUUAAAUUAGCUUGUAUAUGAUAUAUGUUUGGAAUCCCUCACUAAUUUUACAAUUGGACAAGCAAUAUGCAUGUUUAUAAGAAAAACUAGUAAUUAGUAGUCGUUAUAAUCCUACUGACGACUAAAAUGGUUGACUAAUUCAAAUUAGUCAAGCCAAUUAAUUGAUCAGUUUCUGCAGAAUUUCCAGGUGUUCAUUAUUGAUGAAUAAAUGGUUCACUAAUUCAUUUGGUCAUAUCAAAAGGUUGAUUAGUUUAUAUAAAAUUUCAAUUUUAACAAUUUAACCUUGAUGAAUUCUUAAAACCGUCUAUCUUAGAUUAUAUCAAAUUAUAUACCAAUCCUUUAAUGCAUGCAUAGUGAAGAGUGUGAAUUCAUUUUAAUUAUGCUAUCAAGUAGGAUAUAAAAAUUGACAUUGAGCACUUUAAAUGAAAUAUUUAAUCUAAGUCUUCACUUUGUUUUCUUCUUGGACUUUUUGAUCACGAAAUUCAUUAUGCUUGUUGACAUGUUCUUUGAAUAAACUUGUUUAAAACUUAUUCUCAAUAAGGCAUAUUACUAAUCCAUUUCUAUUUUAUUGUUAUCAUAAAAAUAUAUAUAAAUAUGAAUAUUUGACAUAAAGGUCAACAUGGUCGUGAUAACGAGGUAACCUUGUCAAAAGCAAAUUAGGUAAAAUUAUAAAACUUAAUUAUUAAGCAAUCCAAUGUUAAAAGGGUAAGACUAAAAAUAAUUUUUUUUUAUAUAAAAAAAAUUAUAGUCAAUUUAGGUUAAUUUGUCAAUCUUGCAACCAUGAGCUUAAGUUUACAAGAGUAAUUUUGUUAUCAUAAUUAACUCUCUCGAUAGAGUAGAUAAUACAAUUGAAAGGUCUAAUAUCUCACAGGAUAACAUUUAUAAGAUUUGAAAGUGUUUAAGUAUAGUGAGAAUGAGAUUGAAUACUUUUGUGCUAGAUUAAAAACAUUUAAUAACACCAAUUAGAGUAUAAUUAAGGAUUGAUGUUUUAUAAUAUUUUUGCCCUUAUAUUAGCUUGUAUAUAAAAUAUGUCUAGAAUCCCUCAUUAAUUUUGAAAUUAGAUAAGCAAUAUAUAUGUUUAUAAGAAUAACUAGUUGUUUAUAACCAUUAUAAUCCCACUUACAACUAAAAAGGAUGAAUGGUUUAAAUUAGUCAAGCUAAUUAAUUGACCGGUUCCUGAAGAAUUCUCAGAUGUUCAUCACUGAUGAAUAAAUGACCAACUGAUUCAUUUGGUCAUACCAAAUAGUUGACUUGUUCAUACAGAAUUUCAAUUUUAAUAGAUUAACCUUUGUGAAUUCUUAUAACUAUUUAUCUUAGAUUUUAUCAUAUUAUAUAUCAAUCCUUUAAUGCAUGCAUAGUGAAGAAUGUGAAUUCAUUUUAAUAAUGCUAUUAUGGAGGAUAUAGAAAUUGACAUUGAGCACUUUAAAAGAAUACUUAAUCUAAAUCUUCAUUUUGUUUUCUUUUUGGAUUUCUUGAUCAUGAAAUUCAUUAUAUUUGUUGAUAUGUUCUUCAAAUAAACCUUUUAAAACUUAUUCUCAACAAGGCAUAUUACUAGUUCGUUUUUCAUUUUAUUAUCAUCAUCAAAAAAUAUAUAUAUAAAUGAAUAUUUGACCUAAAGGUAAACAUAGUUAUGAUACCGGGGUAACCUUGUUAAAAGCAAAUUUGAGUAACAUUAUGAAGCUCAGUUAUCAAACAAUCUAAUGUUAAAAGGCGAGACUGAAAAAAAAAUUAAUUUCUUAAAGAAAAAAAAGAUCAUGGUCAAUCCAGGUUAAACUGCUAAUGUGGCGACCAUGUGUUUAGGAUUGGGAUGACUCCAUGGAAAAGAAAGUAAAAA
rnacentral:lncRNA from 1 species